GGGGGUGUAGCUCAGCAGGUUAGAGCGCUGGCCUGUCACGCCAGAGGCCGCGGGUUCGAGUCCCGUCACUCCCG
rnacentral:tRNA from 1 species